CAUCGGACUCGAGGUUUGUUUGGGGUUUUCUUCGCAAGCAAGGGAAAAGGCAAGGAUUUUGGGAGCUGAUGAUGGACGAUGUUGAAACGAGCACGCCGCUGGAACAAGUUAACGUGGUAACGUGAAGUCUUUUACUAUUCUUCUUCUGCUCCACCCGACCCCAAAUAAGAGAAGCCCCUCGGUGUGGACCCCGCAUUGUGUUCUCAGUUGUCCCACUAAUCGUGACGGUAACGACGAGUGGUAAGAUACGGCGUGUGACGCACAGCGCAUCCAUCAGAUUAAUAGUGCCACGUAUAUAUACAUUGGAAGUUUAAAUUAAGUGACCUGGCUCGGCCCGUGAUUGGCUUACGCUAAGGCGGUGGGUCCAGUUGGCCGUUGGAUUGUUGAAGAACCGCACGCAUGACACGACUACUUAAAAGAGCAUGCACUGAGGAGCUCCUCGCUUCGAUGAUUCGGUCUUCCCGAGAUCGAAAGCGAGGUCGGAGAGCAAGAAUGCGAGAGAGAUGCGAUUUCGAGGCGAUCGAAGCGCUUCUGCUGAUCAGGGAAGGACCGAUUAAAAGAUGGAAGCAAGCAUAGCUAUGGAGGUCAAGAACAUCUCGGACGAGUUGGAUGAAAUCAGAGAUUAAUUAACCAUCCCAAAUCUGCCACCAACUUCAGCAGGAACAAUCUUAAACACUCGGUGAACCACCUGUACAAACUGUCCUCAGAUUCACACAAGCGGUUCCUGAACUAAAGGUGAAAAACAAGCUGUGCCAUUAGAACAUCAGAAUCAAGAGCAGUCUUUACUUUAAUCUGUAGACAGUGAAAGAUUACAGAGAUUACAGUACAGAGAACAAAAGAGGAUAAACUAGUCAUACUGCUAAUCCUCAAGCACAGCAAGAAAGCUCAUAUCACGCCACACACUGAUGUUAAGGUAAACUGAUUUUUUUCCC